AUUGAACGCUGGCGGCAGGCCUAACACAUGCAAGUCGAACGAGUGGCGGAGGGGUGAGUAAUGUAUGGGAAACUGCCUGCUGGAGGGGGAUAACUACUGGAAACGGUAGGUAAUUCCGAAUAUCAUCGGAUGUGCCUAGAUGGGAUUAGCUUGUAGGUGGGGUAACGGCUCACCUCGGCGACGAUCCCUAGCUGGUCCGAGGGGAUGACCAGCCACACUGGAACUGAGACACGGUCAAGACUCCUACGGGAGGCAGCAGUGGGGAAUAUUGCACAAUGGGCGCAAGCCUGAUGCAGCCAUGCCGCGUGUAUGAAGAGGGCCUUCGGGUUUUAAAGUACUUUCAGCGGGGAGGCGUUACCCGCAGAAGAAGCACCGGCUAACUCCGUGCCAGCAGCCGCGGUAAUAC
rnacentral:rRNA from 1 species